rnacentral:rRNA from 1 species
GCCCGCGCCCGAUUAGCUAGUUGGUGAGGUAACGGCUCACCAAGGCAAUGAUCGGUAGCUGGUCUGAGAGGAUGGCCAGCCACACUGGAACUGAGACACGGUCCAGACUCCUACGGGAGGCAGCAGUGGGGAAUCUUGCGCAAUGGGCGAAAGCCUGACGCAGCGACGCCGCGUGGGGGAUGAAGCUUCUCGGAGUGUAAACCCCUUUCGACCGGGACGAAUGCCCGCAAGGGAGUGACGGUACCGGUAGAAGAAGCCCCGGCUAGCUACGUG